rnacentral:lncRNA from 1 species
GGGAAUUAAGUUAUUAAACGUGCACAUACGUCGAGCAGAAAAAAAGGAACAAAUACACGCACAAUCAGUCUUAUGCAUGAAACACACACAAAGCACGAUUAUUAGGAAAGAAAAAACAAAGACUAGACAUACACAUAGCAGAACACUACUUACUUUAUUACUUCCCCCUCUAACGCUACUACUCAAAGGUAACAUUUUCAUACUUUGCUUUCAGGUCAUUGAUCUUGACCACGUAGUUUUUCUCGUUACUUCCCAAUACUAUUACAGUUCCACGCCAAUUAUUCUUAUUUGCUAGAAAUAAGUCGACGGCAUUAGCUGCGUGAAUGCUGUCUAUAAAAAUUCUUUGCCUUUGUCCAAUCUGGAUUUCUUCCUGCAUUUCCUGCAAAUGAGAGUUUAAAGAGGGAAAGGAAAAGAGAUAGUUACUUAGUUGGUAACAUAUUAGAAAAUAAUAGUUUAAAUGGGUCGACCCGCGAAGUGCUAACUAUGUUUAUUAUUAAAAAAUAAUAGUGUAUAUAGGUAUAAAUUGUGGCUAAAGAGCAUAAAUCUUAUAUAAAAAUUAUAUUUGAACCCACUUGACAAAAACUUUGCUCCAGCAAAAGUGGUCAAGCGGGUUCAUAGUAUUAGUAAGUCUUGUGUUUGAAUCCUUCUCAUCUUUUUUGCCGACAUUUUUGUUUGUGUGUAUAAAUUGCAACAAGAAUCAGAAAAUAAAAGAAAAAUCAUAAAGAUAGCAGCAUAGCCUAAUAUAAUCGUCUUUGCAAUCAAAUCACAUAAGUUUACGACGGCUGAUAUUAUAUAUAUAUAUAUAUAUAUAUGGGAUCAGAAAUAUCUGUUUUACCAUUUUACUUCACUAUAUUGGAAAAAAAUGAUCCAUUCCCGUAAAUUCCGAGAUCUCCGCCCAUUUUCCUAAUGCCGUCGACUUAUUUCUAGCAAAUAAGAACAAUUGGCGUGGAACUGUAGUAGUAUUGGAAAGUAACGAGAAAAACUACGUGGUCAAGAUCAAUGACCUGAAAGCAAAGUAUGAAAAUGUUACCUUUGAGUAGUAGCAUUAGAGGGGGAAGUAAUAAAGUAAGUAGUGUUCUGCUAUGUGUAUGUCUAGUCUUUGUUUUUUCUUUCCUAAUAAUCGUGCUUUGUGUACUUACUUUACUACUUCCCCCUCUAAUGCUACUACUCAAAGGUAACAUUUUCAUACUUUGCUUUCAGGUCAUUGAUCUUGACC